rnacentral:rRNA from 1 species
GACGAACGCUGGCGGCGUGCCUAAUACAUGCAAGUCGAGCGCAGGAAAUCGACGGAACCCUUCGGGGGGAAGUCGACGGAAUGAGCGGCGGACGGGUGAGUAACACGUAAAGAACCUGCCCUCAGGUCUGGGAUAACCACGAGAAAUCGGGGCUAAUGCCGGAUGGGUCAUCGGACCGCAUGGUCCGAGGAUGAAAGGCGCUUCGGCGUCGCCUGGGGAUGGCUUUGCGGUGCAUUAGCUAGUUGGUGGGGUAAUGGCCCACCAAGGCGACGAUGCAUAGCCGACCUGAGAGGGUGAUCGGCCACACUGGGACUGAGACACGGCCCAGACUCCUACGGGAGGCAGCAGUAGGGAAUCUUCCACAAUGGACGAAAGUCUGAUGGAGCAACGCCGCGUGAACGAUGAAGGCCUUCGGGUCGUAAAGUUCUGUUGUAAGGGAAGAACAAGUGCCGCAGGCAAUGGCGGCACCUUGACGGUACCUUGCGAGAAAGCCACGGCUAACUACGUGCCAGCAGCCGCUGUAA